rnacentral:pre_miRNA from 1 species
UAUAUACUCCCUCCGUCCGAAAAUACUUGUCAUCAAAAUGGAUAAAAAGGGAUGUAUCUAGAACUAAAAUACAUCUAGAUACAUCCCCUUUUAUUCAUUUUGAUGACAAGUAUUUCCGGACGGAGGGAGUACCUA